rnacentral:rRNA from 1 species
UGGGGAAUUUUGGACAAUGGGCGCAAGCCUGAUCCAGCCAUGCCGCGUGCGGGAAGAAGGCCUUCGGGUUGUAAACCGCUUUUGUCAGGGAAGAAAUCUUCUGAGUUAAUACCUCGGGAGGAUGACGGUACCUGAAGAAUAAGCACCGGCUAACUACGUGCCAGCAGCCGCGGUAAUACGUAGGGUGCAAGCGUUAAUCGGAAUUACUGGGCGUAAAGCGUGCGCAGGCGGUUUUGUAAGACAGAGGUGAAAUCCCCGGGCUCAACCUGGGAACUGCCUUUGUGACUGCAAGGCUUGAGUGCGGCAGAGGGGGAUGGAAUUCCGCGUGUAGCAGUGAAAUGCGUAGAUAUGCGGAGGAACACCGAUGGCGAAGGCAACCCCCUGGGCCUGCACUGACGCUCAUGCACGAAAGCGUGGGGAGCAAACAGGAUUAGAUACCCUGGUAGUCCACGCCCUAAACGAUGUCAACUGGUUGUUGGGAAGGUUCCUUCUCAGUAACGUAGCUAACGCGUGAAGUUGACCGCCUGGGGAGUACGGCCGCAAGGUUGAAACUCAAAUGGAAUUGACGGGGUCAUAGCUGUUUCC